rnacentral:rRNA from 1 species
UACAGAGGGUGCGAGCGUUAAUCGGAAUGACUGGGCGUAAAGGGUGCGUAGGUGGUUUAUUAAGUUAGGUGUGAAAGUCCUGGGCUUAACCUGGGGAUUGCGCCUGAUACUGGUAGGCUAGAGGACUGUAGAGGGAAGUGGAAUUUCCGGUGUAGCGGUGAAAUGCGUAGAUAUCGGAAGGAACAUCAGUGGCGAAGGCGACUUUCUGGACAGUGACUGACACUGAGGCACGAAAGCAUGGGGAGCAAACAGG